CCAUAUUCCCUCUUAAGUACAUUUCCCCCCUAAAUGUCACGGUAUAAAAUUAUGACGUGGCACCAUUUUCCGUAUUAACUGGUUUUUAUGCUCUGUCGAUUCGUAGAAGACAGCAGACAGAUACAUCGCUUUUACACUGCUAGUUCCAAUAAAACAGGGCAUUGAUCAUGGUGAUCACCAUAACUCAAGUAAGAUUUCGAUAUUGCCUAUAAUACAGAUUCUG